GACGAACGCUGGCGGCGUGCUUAACACAUGCAAGUCGAACGGUGAAGCUCCAGCUUGCUGGAGUGGAUCAGUGGCGAACGGGUGAGUAACACGUGAGCAACCUGCCCCUGACUCUGGAAUAAGCGCUGGAAACGGCGUCUAAUACUGGAUACGAGAAGGGUCCGCAUGGGCACUUUCUGGAAAGUUUGUCGGUUGGGGAUGGGCUCGCGGCCUAUCAGCUUGUUGGUGAGGUAAUGGCUCACCAAGGCGACGACGGGUAGCCGGCCUGAGAGGGCGACCGGCCACACUGGGACUGAGACACGGACCAGACUCCUACGGGAGGCAGCAGUGGGGAAUAUUGCACAAUGGGCGAAAGCCUGAUGCAGCGACGCCGCGUGAGGGAUGACGGCCUUCGGGUUGUAAACCUCUUUCAGCAGGGAAGAAGCGAAAGUGACGGUACCUGCAGAAGAAGCACCGGCUAACUACGUG
rnacentral:rRNA from 1 species